GAUAAACGCUAGCGGCAGGCUUAACACGUGCAAGUCGAGGGGCAGCAUAGAUUGUAGCAAUACAAUUGGUGGCGACCGGCGCACGGGUGCGUAACGCGUAUGCAACCUACCCGUCACAGGGGGAUAAUCCGGAGAAAUCUGGUCUAAUACCCCAUAACAUAUGGAUCGGCAUCGGUUCAUGUUGAAAUUUUCGGUGGUGACGGAUGGGCAUGCGUAGCAUUAGCUUGUUGGUGAGGUAACGGCUCACCAAGGCGACGAUGCUUAGGGGGACUGAGAGGUUUUCCCCCACACUGGUACUGAGACACGGACCAGACUCCUACGGGAGGCAGCAGUGAGGAAUAUUGGUCAAUGGGCGCAAGCCUGAACCAGCCAUGCCGCGUGCAGGAUGACGGCUCUAUGAGUUGUAAACUGCUUUUGUACGAGGGUAAAGUGGGUUACGUGUAACCUUUUGAAAGUAUCGUACGAAUAAGGAUCGGCUAACUCCGUGCCAGCCGCCGCCGUAA
rnacentral:rRNA from 1 species